GGGAGCUGCUAGGACAGGUGUGUUCAGGUAGUCUCACUGUGAUUUGUUCCUUCCGCAGGUAAGAUGAUGGUUGCGGUGAUGGUGGUUGCAGUGGUGGUGGUUGCGGUGAUGGUGAUGGUGGUGGUGCUGCUUCGGUGGCGAGUGACCUGAAUGUGAGUUUGUUGCCAUGGCGUCACACUUCCGCAUCUGUUGAAGUAAAGUGACGUAUUACGUGUGUGUGUGUGUGUGUUUCCAUGGAUGCAAAUGCGCUCUCUCUCUCUCUCUCUCUCUCUCUCUCUCUCUCUCUCUCUCUCUCUCUCUCUGACACGAAAAUCACCCUUUAAUGUCCUCGAUUCGCCUUCAAGGUCACGAUAUAUUUAACUCAAGGAAGAAAACGAGAGAGAUCAAAGAAAACAUUAAAGAUAACUAAGAUAAAAAAAAGAAAUCCCAUGUAAAAUAAGAGACGCGUACAAAAAAAAAAAAAAUCUAAACCAACAACAACAACAACAACAGCAACAACACCCUCAGACGUGCCACCUCCCCUAACACGCUGCAUCCAGAACGUGACAGGAAUGGAAAUGGUGCUUUCAUUCUUCUUUCAUUGAAUAUGGAUACUGAAAUUUGUUUUUAAUGGAGUUAUUUGAGAGAGAGAAUAUGAAAACCCCCAAAAUAAGAAAGACGACGGACAGAAAGGAAAAUAAAGAAAAGGAGAAAAAAAUGGACGGAUGAAAAAGGUGAAAGUGAAAUGAAGAUAAGUGAAGUGGAGAAGACAAAGGAAAGAGAAGGAGAGCAGCAGCAGGAGGAGGAGGAGGAGGACUGGUGUUUGGGGUGUCAGGAGCCAUUAUGUUGCGUUGCUCCAGCCGCACCACACCAUUACUCACACCUGCCUCCCAACACUCUCUUCAGGGCCGGGGAACUCACUCAAAAGCCACACUCCUCUGAUCAGGCCCACAGUAAUCUCUUGGAGUGCCAGAGUCUCCCCUUCAGGGCCACAGUGUUCUCCCUGAGAGUCUUAUUCCAUAGAGCCUUAGUACUUUUUCGAGAGGUAAAAAAUUAUAAGGGGACAUUUUUCUGGUUUUCUUAGGUGUCAUGUUCUUUGUACAGGGUCACAGUGCCACUUGAGGGCCGUGUUAUCAGGUCGUCUCUCUCCGCAGGGUCACAUUUUAAGGGCCCACAUAUCUCCGCUAAACUAAACUUUCAAAUUCUUGAUCUUAACUUAUAUAGUCGUAAAUCUCCGUUUAGAGAGAGAGAGAGAGAGAGAGAGAGAGAGAGAGAGAGAGAGAGAGAGAGAGAGAGAGAGAGAGAGAGAGAGAGAAACGACAUAAGAAAAAUUACAAAUUAAGAUAAGUGACGUACGAAGAAGUUAAACAUUUAAACAUAGUGAGAGAGAGAGAGAGAGAGAGAGAGAGAGAGAGAGAGAGAGAGAGAGAGAGAGAGAGAGCGCAUGUGUCUCUUCAUUCUUCUUGAGUUAGCAGGAAAAUGUAAACGAGGAAAGACAAGUUUGGACAGAGAAAAAAAAAAUAUCAGGAGGAAGAAAACUUUUUCCCUUGAAGACAAAACUAUUUUCCUUCCAAAAAGAAAAAAAAAAUGAAA